AGAGUUUGAUCCUGGCUCAGAUUGAACGCUGGCGGCAUGCCUUACACAUGCAAGUCGAACGGCAGCGCGGGGCAACCUGGCGGCGAGUGGCGAACGGGUGAGUAAUAUAUCGGAACGUGCCCUGGAGUGGGGGGUAACGCAGCGAAAGUUGCGCUAAUACCGCAUACGAUCUAAGGAUGAAAGCAGGGGACCGCAAGGCCUUGUGCUCCUGGAGCGGCCGAUAUCUGAUUAGCUAGUUGGUGGGGUAAAGGCCUACCAAGGCAUCGAUCAGUAGCUGGUCUGAGAGGACGACCAGCCACACUGGAACUGAGACACGGUCCAGACUCCUACGGGAGGCAGCAGUGGGGAAUUUUGGACAAUGGGCGAAAGCCUGAUCCAGCAAUGCCGCGUGAGUGAAGAAGGCCUUCGGGUUGUAAAGCUCUUUUGUCAGGGAAGAAACGG
rnacentral:rRNA from 1 species